UGGGGAAUUUUGGACAAUGGGCGAAAGCCUGAUCCAGCAAUGCCGCGUGUGUGAAGAAGGCCUUCGGGUUGUAAAGCACUUUUGUCCGGAAAGAAAUCCUUGGCUCUAAUACAGUCGGGGGAUGACGGUACCGGAAGAAUAAGCACCGGCUAACUACGUGCCAGCAGCCGCGGUAAUACGUAGGGUGCAAGCGUUAAUCGGAAUUACUGGGCGUAAAGCGUGCGCAGGCGGUUUGCUAAGACCGAUGUGAAAUCCCCGGGCUCAACCUGGGAACUGCAUUGGUGACUGGCAGGCUAGAGUAUGGCAGAGGGGGGUAGAAUUCCACGUGUAGCAGUGAAAUGCGUAGAGAUGUGGAGGAAUACCGAUGGCGAAGGCAGCCCCCUGGGCCAAUACUGACGCUCAUGCACGAAAGCGUGGGGGAGCAAACAGGAUUAGAUACCCCUGGUAGUCCACGCCCCUAAACGAUGUCAACUAGUUGUUGGGGAUUCAUUUCCUUAGUAACGUAGCUAACGCGUGAAGUUGACCGCCUGGGGAGUACGGUCGCAAGAUUAAAACUUAAUGAAUUGACGGGGUCAUAGCUGUUU
rnacentral:rRNA from 1 species